AAAAACCCAACUUUGUAAAAAAAAAAAAAAAGCAAAGAUGAAAACAGUUGUCCCACUCUUUUCUUAGCCAAAUGUGCCUUGAAAGAUUUGAUUUUUGAGCUCAGAAUCCAACUCUCUAAUUAUCUAAACAAUUCUACCAAGUACAAAACACCAUAUUUACAUAUGCAAAGCAAGAAUGAAGAAUUAGAAUACUUAAUUUAUUCACACAAUUGAAUGUUGAAACAACUACAGAUUCAGAUACUUUUUUUUUUUUUUUUUUUGCAAAUUCCCAUCUCCAAAGUGGCUUGAUGCUAAAUCUACUUUUUUACAUAACAUUGUGGUCCUCGGUAUCUCAUCUCUACAUAAUAGAUAUUUUAGGAAUUUAAGUUUUUAGGUAAAUAUUUGGAAUAUGUUUGCAAAUUAAGGUUCCCCCGAGCAAGGUUGUUAACCUACAGGCCUCUCUUGAAAAUGAGGUCCUUGGUUUGCAAACAUUUUAAUACCUAGGUGAGGAACAGAGAGAGGCUGCCUGGAUGGCUUAAGAGCUUUUUCUUACUGGGUGGACUCAUUUAGGUUGAAAGUGAUUAUUUUGAAAUCCAUUUCAUUCUAAGCAAAUGUCUCCACCCUGGGAAAAUAAAAUAGAGCAACUGCUGGCUAGCUCCUAAGCAAUUGUUGCCAUUUUAUUCAGUGUUCUACCUUAGUAUUCCCAGUGGUUUAAAUGAAUAUCCAUAAUGGCCCUUAUCCUUGUAGUCCCGUCUAGAACUUACCUCAUUCAAAAACAAACUAACCAACCAACCAUAUUAUAAUGAAAUUAUGACCUUACGUGAGUCUUUCUAGGUCAACACUAAUGCUCUCCUUUUCUAAUUUUAUACCAGUUCAUAGCAGAGUUUAGGUCCAACUCCUUCCUGGAAUGACACAUUUUCCACUAAGUAGUCUUCUGGCUGUUUAGUGCUGAGCAUCACGCCUGGAGGGAUGUCUCCCAUGAGAGCACCUCUAGGUCCAUAAACUCCCCUACACAAACCCCCCAGGCUGUCCUGAUCUACCUUCUCUUGGCUCGGUAAGUGAAAUUAUCUGUAAAAUAAGGGGAGAAAAGAAACUGAUAGCUGAACAAGUUUUAAUAAGUGGAAAAAUUAAAAUAUAAUAAUUAACUUAAUGCUUGGACCUUUGAGUGCCUUUAUUUUCCUCAGUUUCACUUUUUCCUGCUUAUUGAAGAAUCAAAGCUUCUUUAUUUCACGAAGAUUGCCUUAAGAGCUUAAAACUCUCUUCUGCUAGUUAUCUAGAGAACCCAGGAAAUAGUUAAUUGAAAGACAUUGCUUUUUUUUUUUUUUUUUCCCCAACUGGUUGCCUCGUUUUAUCCUAGUGCAAGGACUAGCCUUGAAAGCACAAAGCCAGAAUGUGACAGUGUGAGGCACAUCCAGACACGGCACUAUUCCACACGGCCUUGGGGGGAGGAAGAGGUGGAAGGCAUCUGCACACUCCAGAUACAGGAACUUUGAAUACAGUUGUCAAGUGUGUCAACUUUGCCAAGAUAUCCAGCUAUAAAAAUACCUGGAAUAAAAUAAAAUAAUAAAAUAAAAUAAAAUAAAAUAAAAUAAAAUAAAAUAAAAUAAAAUAAUAAAAUAAUAAAAUAAAACAAAAUGACAGAUUCAUUAUUGUAAUCAUUUAGGAAGAUAACAAUAAGGAUUGAUUAGGAAUCACUCAGCCUCACUUUAGAAUAAGGAUUACAGGUCGGUUACCAUGCAGCAGAUUCCAAAGAACGUACUAAAAAUAAUACAGUGGGUCCCAACAUGUAUUUUAAAUUCUCUUACUAGGAGUUAGAAAGCACCUGACCCAUGGUACCAAAUGAUGCAUUUCUUAUCUGUCCUCAAAAAUACCUUCUUGGUGUCUCUACCUCUCAUGAAUAAAUAAAUAAAAUCUUAAAAAAAAAUACCUUCUUGAAAAUGGUGCUGAUUACCCUGUGAGGCCCCAUCCCAAGAUGAGUCCUAACU
rnacentral:lncRNA from 1 species